CGCAUGAAACGCCACGAAACCCCGGGGCUUCCUCCUCCGCCGCCAUCUGGUUCCCCUCCGCUCCCAUCUGCCGCCUCUGCCGAGAUCCAAGGCCUCCGACUUGGGGGCCGCCGCCGCCGCGGAACCCCGGGGCAAGGCAAGGCGUGGUCGUGUUGCGGGCAGUGAGGAGCGGCGCACGGCCGUGCCCUGCAUCUGGUUCCCCUUUGCUCCCCUCGUUCCCCUCCAUCGCCUCCAACGUUCAAUCUCGCCGUCAUGGGAUCGCCGCCGAGCCGAGGACAAAGGCAAGUGUUCUAUUUGUGCAUUGUGACGGGAAUUUUCUUGGAUAACAGAGGAAGCGAGCUAGGAGGAGUACACGGGUGGGAUGACAGAUGAUAAACUUGAUACGGGCAUGUUGUCAUCCAACCGACGUGCCCAGACAUGCUACGUAUUGGCAUGAUGGACUUCUAUGGGAAACAAAGACUUAAGUGAUGUUACUCAUGUUGUAGUAGAUGAAGUACAUGAACACACUGUUUUGUACAUAGCUUCAUGCUCCAUGGAUAAAAUUGUGAGAGUGUUGGAGAUCUCUAAAGGCACUUGUAUCAGAGUCGUAUAUGGAGUUUCUUCCCAGCUAUGCAUCUGCUUUCAUCCUGCAAUUAAUUUUAGCACGGGGAGAGUAAUCAGCAAACUCACCUAUGACAAUGCGGUUACAGCGUUGGAUAUCGACCACACUGGUCAACUUAUUUUUGCUGGUGAUGCGCAGGGUUACAUAUACACUAUUAGUGUGAACUCUCACACAGGGUCUUUAUCUAGAACUCAUAAGAACAAGAGUUGUAAGAUCAAAUCUUCCGUUACAACCAUCCGUGCAGAAUAUCCGUGCUUCUUUCUGUCCACUUCUUUCCCUUGAGAAAGGGGAAUUCAUAG
rnacentral:rRNA from 1 species